GCCUUUGUAGCUCAGUUGCUUAGAGCGCUGCACCGGAAUCGCAGGGCCGUAGGUUCAAUUCCUACCAGAGGAC
rnacentral:tRNA from 1 species